AUCUGUGAUUAUGUGUAGCUGUAUAUAUGUGAAUGAAUGCUACUAUAACACAAUCAUACAUAAACCUCAAAUAUGUUGUCAAAUAUUUAUCCCGGCUAAAAUAACCGGUUUGUGAUUACCAUUUACCAUAAUCACUAGUAUGAAAUCUCUGGCAGUGUACGAGAAUACGGGAUGCUAUUCUCAAGUAAAGAAAUAAAAUUUGUACAAUACUUAUAGAAUGAAACUAAUUUAAUGUUUCGCAUACCCCAAUUAGGAAUAAGUUAUAGCUUCAAUGAACGCUCCAAUUCAGCAAUUCAGAUGAGUAAAAAAAACUAAAAACGGUAACAUUAAGAAGAAAUUCAAAAUCAUACUAACACAAGUAAAUGAGACUGGGAUUUAAAUUAACUCUUGGUCCUAAUAAAAUGGAAGCAUAUGGUUUCUUCUUACUAAUUCCCUAACUGUGCUUUGAAAUGACGAAUGUAAGGCAUUAAUCAUCACCAAUUUUUUGUUAAUUGUUAUCAUUGAUUAUCAGAAGAGUCUCGAGAAAAAACUCAUACCUAAAUCGGCUAUUGAUGUUUCCGCUGUUGAGGGCCGAACGGUCCAUGGAAUUCGAAUGUUUACAAUUUGCAGGGGUUGGGAACUGGGAAGGGAUCCAACGGAAGGAGGAGGGUAACUAAUCGAGAGGAGAGAGAGUAUAAGAGAGAUCUGAUUUUAGAGUUUUGUAUUCGGUCCAUAUAUAUAUAUAUAUAUAUAUAUAUACAUAUAUAUAUAGUAUAUAUAUAUAUAUAGGGGAGGGAUCUUGUGAAAAUAGGUCCCUAUGUGAGUAUACUACUAUAUAUGAGAACGAAUCUAAUCUUACGGAUUAGAUUCAAUCUAAUCCUACGGAUUAGAUUCAAUCUAAUGGCUAGGAUUAAAUGAUGAGCAAACCCAUCCACCUUCCUAAUUAAAGCCCACGUUUCUUUCAUUAAACCCCACCCACUUUCUCUCUCUAAAACCUCCCUCUUCACUCUCUCGUACGUGACUCUCUUCUCUCACACAAUUUUCUCUCUUUUCCCUCGCAAUUUUCUCUCUCCUCUCGACAAAACCGCCAUUGCAGCUCCAAAAACGACCGAUCAACCUAUUUCAUCACCGGUGUAUUGUUAAUUUAAGAUGACUGGAGCAGAAAAACAAUACGAACGACGGAGCUAAACAAAAAUACAACAAAGCAGCAACAAUUCCAGAAGAUACAACUGAAUAAAAUGAGAAUAUUCGCACCAAAACAACGGAGCAAAUUGUCCCGCGUCACUUCUGAACGACAUCAUGAGCAAUACUAGGGAAGAAACUAAAGCUCACUUUGAUGGAAAAACCGAAGCUACUGUCAAUUAUGAUGUCUUCAAUUAUGUGUUGGGUGUAGUUAUGUGUAUUGCGUUUGUUACUUGCAUGUGUGUUUGCUCUUUUAUGUGCAUCUGUCAAUUCAGAACAUUUAGUUAGGGAAUUCAGAACAUUUUUCUUAGGAAUGCAGAACAUUUAGU